UACAGAGGUCCCAAGCGUUGUUCGGAUUCAUUGGGCGUAAAGGGUGCGUAGGCGGCGCGGUAAGUCGAGUGUGAAAUCUCGGAGCUUAACUUCGAAACUGCAUUCGAUACUGCCUUGCUUGAGUACUGGAGAGGGAACUGGAAUUUACGGUGUAGCAGUGAAAUGCGUAGAGAUCGUAAGGAAGGCCAGUGGCGAAGGCGAGUUCCUGGACAGUAACUGACGCUGAGGCACGAAGGCCAGGGGAGCAAACGGG
rnacentral:rRNA from 1 species